rnacentral:rRNA from 1 species
UACGUAGGGGGCGAGCGUUAUCCGGAGUUACUGGGCGUAAAGCGCACGCAGGCGGUCUGCUAAGUUUGGAGUGACAGUUGGUGGCUUAACUGCCAAAGUGCUUCGAAAACUGACAGACUUGAGGGCUUCAGAGGGACACGGAAUUCCGGGUGGAGUGGUGAAAUGCGUAGAGAUCCGGAGGAACACCAAAGGCGAAGGCAGUGUCCUGGGGAGUACCUGACGCUCAGGUGCGAAAGCCAGGGGAGCGAACGGG